AGCGAACGCUGGCGGCAGGCCUAAUACAUGCAAGUCGAACGCACCUUCGGGUGAGUGGCGGACGGGUGAGUAACGCGUGGGAACGUGCCCUUUGGUACGGAACAACUGAGGGAAACUUCAGCUAAUACCGUAUGUGCCCUUCGGGGGAAAGAUUUAUCGCCAUUGGAGCGGCCCGCGUUGGAUUAGCUAGUUGGUGGGGUAAAGGCUCACCAAGGCUACGAUCCAUAGCGGGUCUGAGAGGAUGAUCAGCCACACUGGGACUGAGACACGGCCCAGACUCCUACGGGAGGCAGCAGUAGGGAAUCUUGCGCAAUGGGCGAAAGCCUGACGCAGCCAUGCCGCGUGAAUGAUGAAGGUCUUAGGAUUGUAAAAUUCUUUCACCGGGGAAGAUAAUGACGGUACCCGGAGAAGAAGCCCCGGCUAACUUCGUGCCAGCCGCCGCCGUAAGAC
rnacentral:rRNA from 1 species